rnacentral:misc_RNA from 1 species
GGUGAAGAACGCAGCGAAAUGCGAUAAGUAAUGUGAAUUGCAGAAUUCAGUGAAUCAUCGAAUCUUUGUACGCACAUUGCGCCCGCCAGUAUUCUGGCGGGCAUGCCUGUUCGAGCGUCAUUUCAACCAUCAAGCCCCCGGCUUGUGUUGGGGACCUGCGGCUGCCGCAGGCCCUGAAAACCAGUGGCGGGCUCGCUAGUCACUCCGAGCGUAGUAAUACAUCUCGCUCAGGGCGUGCUGCGGGUUCCGGCCGUUAAAAAGCCUUAUUUACCCAAGGUUGACCUCGGAUCAGGUAGGAAGACCCGCUGAACUUAAGCAUAUCAAUAAGCGGAGGA